UACAGAGGGGGCAAGCGUUGUUCGGAAUUACUGGGCGUAAAGGGCGCGUAGGCGGCCUGUUAAGUCGAACGUGAAAUCCCUGGGCUCAACCCAGGAACUGCGUCCGAUACUGGAUGGCUUGAGUUUGGGAGAGGGAUGCGGAAUUCCAGGUGUAGCGGUGAAAUGCGUAGAUAUCUGGAGGAACACCGGUGGCGAAGGCGGCAUCCUGGACCAACACUGACACUGAGGAGCGAAAGCCAGGGGAGCAAACGGG
rnacentral:rRNA from 1 species